GUAUGUUGGAAAACACUUAGGAGACAUAAAUACUGAAAAGUUCAAUGAGAAGAGUUGUAAAAAUAUCAUUAAUUAUAUAUAGUGAGAGUCUUUAAAAUCAGCAGAAACUUCUUGAAUGUACAUUUGUAUGACACAAAGAAACUUUGAUGAUGACUACAUUAAAAGGAAAAGAAGUAUAUGUUCCUGGAUUGUUGGUAUCUAGAGAAAGAGACAUGGAUGCUACUUUGCUGCCUCUGGAUUAAAGAAGCUUUGAGGCAUCCAGAACCCCGACAAUGAAAGGAACAAAUUGUGGACAGGGAAAGUGUGUGAAGGCCGGGAAACUAAUUAGGAAGAGAAAG